CUAACUGAAGCAGGACAGGGGGAUAGAUCAGUUGGGCGUCGUCACACCCUCAGAGCCUGGUGGGCUUGUCUUGGUUGGAAGUUUGGGCUUUACCUUGAAAGCUCCAGGGGCCUCUCAGAGCACAGGAAUCAGAACCGAGAAGCAGCAUAGUUCCAGGCUGGGAGAGAGUUCCCGGAACCUGCGGCAUGGGGAGGGAAGGCCGUGAUCCCGUGUCCAAGAGUGGAGGCCCCGAGCUGAGGCUGGCAGGAGCCAGGGUUUCCACUCAGGAGAUACUAAGAAGGAAGAAUCUGCAGGUCCUGGUAAUGUGACUGGUUGACUAAAUGUCCAGGGUUGAGAGAGAAAAAAGAAGGAAAAGAUUGGAAAAUUUGGUGUCUGAAGACUGAAUGGAUAGUACGUUUGCCAGGACGGGAGGUAGAGAGAUUUUGACCAGAUGCGUUCAACACCUGUCUGGUAAAGAGCAUCUUAGGGCAAACCAGCAAGUGGCUUAUGAUCCCCCGUUAUCUGCUUGUGACAUGUCAACAGCAGCCUGGCUUAAGCCGCCUGUCUUCUUGAUGGCUAAUUGUGAACGUGCACUAGUUAUGGGCGUAGGCCCAAUGACACACAACCAAGAACAC
rnacentral:lncRNA from 1 species